rnacentral:rRNA from 1 species
GAUGAACGCUGGCGGCGUGCCUAAUACAUGCAAGUCGAGCGAACAGAUGAGGAGCUUGCUCCUCUGACGUUAGCGGCGGACGGGCGAGUAACACGUGGAUAACCUACCUAUAAGACUGGGAUAACUUCGGGAAACCGGAGCUAAUACCGGAUAAUAUAUUGAACCGCUUGGUUCAAUAGUGAAAGACGGUUUUGCUGUUACUUUUAGAUGGAUUCGCGCCGCGUUAGCUAGUUGGUAAGGUAACGGCUUACCAAGGCAACGAUGCGUAGCCGACCUGAGAGGGUGACAGGCCACACGGGAACUGAGACACGGUCCAGAGUCCUACGGGAGGCAGCAGUAGGGAAUUUUGCGCAAUGGGCGAAAGCCUGACGGAGCAACGCGGCGUGAGUGAUGAAGGUCUUCGGAUCGUAAAACUCUGUUAUUAGGGAAAAACAAAUGAGUUAGUAACUAUGCACGUCUGGACGGUACCUAAUCAGAAAGCCACGGCUAACUAGGU